rnacentral:rRNA from 1 species
AGAGCGAACGCUGGCGGCAUGCUUAACACAUGCAAGUCGCACGGUUCGGGGGCAACCCCGGGCAGUGGCGGACGGGUGAGGAACGCGUAGGAAUAUGUCCUGGGAUGGGGGAUAACCGUGGGAAACUACGGCUAAUACCGCAUGCGGCCUGAGGGCCAAAGGUCGAAAGGCCGUCUUGGGAGGAGCCUGCGUCCGAUUAGCUUGUUGGUGGGGUAACGGCCUACCAAGGCUGCGAUCGGUAGCUGGUCUGAGAGGAUGAUCAGCCACACUGGGACUGAGACACGGCCCAGACUCCUACGAGAGGCAGCAGUGGGGAAUAUUGGACAAUGGGCGCAAGCCUGAUCCAGCAAUGCCGCGUGGGUGAAGAAGGUCUUCGGAUUGUAAAGCCCUUUCGGCGGGGACGAUGAUGACGGUACCCGCAGAAGAAGCACCGGCUAACUACGUGCCAGCAGCCGC